UGGGUUGUAGCUCAGUGGUAGAGCGCUUGCCUCUCAUGUAUGAGGCACUGGGUUCAAUUCUCAGCACUGCAU
rfam:Ictidomys tridecemlineatus contig034093, whole genome shotgun sequence.